ACAUCAAGCUGGUUCCUCUAAAAAAGAUUAUAUUUGAUCUUCUAACAUGUAUUGGGCAUGUACCAGAUUACAAAUGAAAGGACAGAAGGAAGAAAGGAAAGGAGGGAGCGUAAAGAAGGAAAGAGACCAGCAUUUAGCUAGAUCUCACAACAGCGCUGCAAAUAGGCAUUAUUAUCUCGACUGCAGUGAAAAUGAGAUUGAAUCUUGAAAGGGCAGACUGAAGGCAGAGCCAGGAUUUGAACCCAGGACUCUAGCACUUUCCACUAUUUUGUGUCAACUAUGCCAGCUACUACACAGGCAUUAGAAAUGAUGUCUCACUAUGUUGCCAGGCUGGUGUCAAACUCCUGGCCUUGAGUGAUCCUCCUGCCUCAGCCUCCCAAAAUGCUGAGAUUAUGUGUGUUAGUCACCAUGCCCAGCCACUUGCCAUUUUCACAAUCACAAAAAAUAAAGCAGCAUUUUGAAAGGUCAUGUCCAUUCUCAGUGGCUACUUCUGGAAACACUGACUACAAUAAGAUCUGCCCAAAGUCUGCUAUACUGUGCAAGCUGCUUGCAGGCAAUUCCUUCACAGGCAUCUAUCUUCUUAUGACACACUUAUUUAGAUGUUAUCAUGAUCAGUAAGAUAUUAAAAUCAUUUCUGCUCACAACUGACUGUCUUGACACCCAUGUGUUCCAUGAAGUUCCCUCAGCGUGAGAAAACUCAAUGAAACAGGUGGUGCAAAUUUCAGUGAUACUCAACGCAUCGGCACGUUUUAGAAA